CUUCUCAAAAAAAAAAUUAACUCAUAUUGCGAGAGGUGAGUUGAGCCUUAGCUCACGUGCUGAGCUAUUUCUAUCUUAACGUCUGUUUUUAAAAAAGUUAAUUCAUAUUACGAGAAGUGAGUUGAGCCUUGUUUCACACGCUGAGGAUCACAUACCAAGUAAAGAAUAAAGAUUGGAGCUGAUUGAAGACACCAGAUUUUGUUUCCCUGAAGUUGCAGUGGAGCUGAUCGAGGAUAUCAAAUGAUGCCCUUCUAAAGUUGCAGAAGAGAAGACCACAAGCCUUAUCUUACUAAAGCGAUAAAAGAGCAGAUUGAAGCUGUAGAUCUUAUCCUCCUGAAGAUACAGCAGAAGAGCAAGAUCACAAUGAAUUUUAUAUCCCUGAAGAUACGAGUAGAUUGAAGCCACAAGUCAUAACUCUGAAGUCGCGAUGGAUUGAGCCAAAGCUACAAGAUGCGGUGGACUGGAAACUACCUGAACAAGAAGAGCACCAAAGAAGUCAACACUUGGCAAGACCGGACAAAAUUGGCCUUUAUUUGUGUCUUUGCUCUAUUCCCGUUAUACGACAAUGAGCAAAGAGGGGCAGCUGUUGUAGGCCAAUUUUGACCCGUUUACAAAAUACCCAGGCCCAUUAAACCAUUUAACCUAUCCUCAAACCCAAAACCUAAAAUUAAUCUAGCCUAACAUCCAAGCCCAAUCCCGAAACCCUAGAUCCCUACUUGCCUCUCCCCACUCUCCCAUGCUGUCUUCCACCUUGCGUACUACCACCACCACUCCCCACGCACGUCACAUGCCUCCAUACACGCGUCUGGUCACCCAUUUCACCUGCAAAAACGAGACAAACACGCGAAGAUAGAGAGGCCACAAGAGCAAAAAACAAAAAAACAGUAGAAAUAUUUUUGUAUUCGGCUAUAUAGCCUGGUAAAAAUGUAAUACCAGGAUACUAGCAAUCAAGAGAAAAAACACAGCAAGGUGGAUCUUUGAUUUCAUUUUAUUUGUUUUCAUUUCGUUUUAACUUCUUCUUAGUUUCCUUUCAAAUUUACUACAAAUAAAUAAACAAAAGGGGGUUUUGUUUUCAAAUACAAAAAAGGGGAUUGUAUUACACAGAUUAUUAAUCAAAAAGAGAACUAAAAAGGUUGUUUUCAUAUUUUCUUUUCUUGGUUUUUUCUUUAGAUUUUUUAUUUUAUUUUCUGUGUUAAAUCUUUUUUAAAAAUAAAAAUAAAAAACGAAAGAGGGGCUGAAAACUUACCUAUUCUUCGCGUCCCGCCACCAUCGGAGAUUCCCCGAUCCAAGAGAGCCACAAAACCCCUCAGGUUUCUCGUUUAGGC
rnacentral:lncRNA from 1 species